rnacentral:rRNA from 1 species
GAUGAACGCUGGCGGCGUGCCUAAUACAUGCAAGUCGAGCGAACGGACGAGAAGCUUGCUUCUCUGAUGUUAGCGGCGGACGGGUGAGUAACACGUGGAUAACCUACCUAUAAGACUGGGAUAACUUCGGGAAACCGGAGCUAAUACCGGAUAAUAUUUUGAACCGCAUGGUUCAAAAGUGAAAGACGGUCUUGCUGUCACUUAUAGAUGGAUCCGCUCUGCAUUAGCUAGUUGGUAAGGUAACGGCUUACCAAGGCAACGAUGCAUAGCCGAACUGAGAGGGUGAUCGGCCACACUGGAACUGAGACACGGUCCAGACUCCUACGGGAGGCAGCAGUAGGGAAUCUUCCGCAAUGGGCGAAAGCCUGACGGAGCAACGCCGCGUGAGUGAUGAAGGUCUUCGGAUCGUAAAACUCUGUUAUUAGGGAAGAACAUAUGUGUAAGUAACUGUGCACAUAUUGACGGUACCUAAUCAGAAAGCCACGGCUAACUACGUG